UUUGCCCUCCCUGCUCCCUGCCCCAUAUAAGCAGAGCAGGAGGAGCCCAGCCCCAAGCUGGGCCCAUUGCGGGCCAAGGGAUCCUCCGCCGGCAUCCCAGGCUGAGCUUUGUCUGGGAGUUUGCCUGCUUGAAGGACUUGUCACAGGUUCUGCCGCGGGUGAGAAGAUGCAGAUGGAGACGGAGAUGAAGAUGAAGACAGAGAUGAAGACGGAGACAAAGACAAAGAUGAAGAUGGAGGCUGCAGCAAACAGCAGUGCCUGCACUCCAGAGCCCCCACGGAGUCCACCCAAGAAGAGUGGAGCAGCAGCAGCUGCCCUGCAGCCCAGCAGGACCUGCUUGGUGUCACUGUCCAGGAGCCAACCUGGUUUUGUGUCAGCACUUUCUGGGUUCAAGCCUGGUGUCAAACCAGAGAUGUGUGAAAUGCUUCCUGAGGAGGCAAACGUUGGUGGAGCUUGAAGAUGAUUAAGUUCUAACUCCCCUCCCCCCAGCCCAGGCUGCUCCAGGGCUCUUCUCCUCAGUGUUACACAGAAUCAAGCAGGCUGGAAGAGAGCUCCAAGCUCCUCCAGCCCUAUCUGUGAUGGUUUGGGUGUUACCCACCCCCAACACACAGUUACAAUCACCCAGACUCUACUCAGCCCCUGGCAAUCAAACAGAUGAAGCUUGGCACAGCUGAGCCCAAGAUCCCAGCACUUAGUUACAAUAGGUGCAGCUCCACCCAGAAACACACAAGUGAAGAAGUAGUCCACAAGCACAACAGCCCUCCCAGAAACCAAAGUCAGCAGCAGGGCUUCCAACUCCCUUCCACCUUCCUGUCUCUCCUCUGCCUUCCCCCAGACUUUGCCUUGCAUUCAAAGGGAGUUUGGGGGGUUAGGAAGCAGACAGCUUAGUUAAGCAGCAAGGGAAGUUAGAGAGAGAAGGGCAGCCCAAAAGCCACAGAGCAGACUGCCUUGGCUAUGUUUGUGUGCUUGUUCUUACACAGCAAGGAGCAUAAACUCAACCAGGUCAGGAGAGACCUCCCACAUCA